UGCAGUUAAAAAGCUCGUAGUUGGAUUUCGGAGUGGGCCAGUUGGUCCGCCGCAAGGUGUGUUACUGACUGGUUUGCUCUUCUUCGCAAAGACUACGUGUGCUCUUGAGUGAGUGUGCGUAGGAUUUACGACGUUUACUUUGAAAAAAUUAGAGUGUUCAAAGCAGGCUAUUGCUUGAAUACAUGAGCAUGGAAUAAUGGAAUAGGACUUUGGUCCCAUUUUGUUGGUUUCUAGGGCCGAAGUAAUGAUUAAGAGGGACAAUUGGGGGCAUCCGUAUUUCGUUGUCAGAGGUGAAAUUCUUGGAUUUACGAAAGACGAACAACUGCGAAAGCACUUGCCAAGAGUGUUUUCAUUAAUCAAGAACGAAAGUUAGAGGAUCGAAGACGAUCAGAUACCGUCCUAGUUCUAACCAUAAACGAUGUCGACUAGGGAUCAGCGGGCGUUAUCGUACGACCCCGUUGGCACCUUACGGGAAACCAAAGUUUUUGGAUUCCGGGGGAAGUAUGGUUGCAAAGCUGAAACUUAAAGGAAUUGACGGAAGGGCACCACCAGGAGUGGAGCCUGUGGCUCAAUUUGACUCAACACGGGGAAAAC
rnacentral:rRNA from 1 species